ensembl:snRNA U6 U6 spliceosomal RNA
GGGCUUGUUUUGGCAGCACAUAUACUAAAAUCAGAACAGUAAAGAGAAGAUUAGCAUGGCCCCUGGGCAAAGAUGACAGACGAAUUCAUGAAGUGUUCCGUAUUUUU